rnacentral:rRNA from 1 species
AGUGAACGCUGGCGGUAGGCCUAACACAUGCAAGUCGAACGGCAGCACAGUAAGAGCUUGCUCUUACGGGUGGCGAGUGGCGGACGGGUGAGGAAUACAUCGGAAUCUACUUUUUCGUGAGGGAUAACGUAGGGAAACUUACGCUAAUACCGCAUACGACCUACGGGUGAAAGCAGGGGAUCUUCGGACCUUGCGCGAUUGAAUGAGCCGAUGUCGGAUUAGCUAGUUGGCGGGGUAAAGGCCCACCAAGGCGACGAUCCGUAGCUGGUCUGAGAGGAUGAUCAGCCACACUGGAACUGAGACACGGUCCAGACUCCUACGGGAGGCAGCAGUGGGGAAUAUUGGACAAAGGGCGCAAGCCUGAUCCAGCCAUACCGCGUGGGUGAAGAAGGCCUUCGGGUUGUAAAGCCCUUUUGUUGGGAAAGAAAAGCAGCAGGUUGAUACCCCGCUGUUCUGACGGUACCCAAAGAAUAAGCACCGGCUAACUUCGUG